CUACGGGACGCUCCAGUGGGGAAUAUUGGGCAAUGGGCGAAAGCCUGACCCAGCAACGCCGCGUGAAGGAAGAAGGUUUUCGGAUCGUAAACUUCUAUCCCGGGUGAAGAUAAUGACGGUAGCCCGGAAGGAAGCCCCGGCUAACUACGUGCCAGCAGCCGCGGUAAUACGUAGGGGGCAAGCGUUGUCCGGAAUGAUUGGGCGUAAAGGGCGCGUAGGCGGCCUUUUAAGUCCGAUGUGAAAGUCCUGCUUUUAAGGUGGGAAUUGCAUUGGAAACUGGAAGGCUUGAGUGCAGGAGAGGUAAGUGGAAUUCCCGGUGUAGCGGUGAAAUGCGUAGAGAUCGGGAGGAACACCAGUGGCGAAGGCGACUUACUGGACUGUAACUGACGCUGAGGCGCGAAAGUGUGGGGAGCAAACAGGAUUAAUACCCGGGUAGUC
rnacentral:rRNA from 1 species